CUUGGAACAGUUCCAAAGCCUGCAUGACAUGCUCCAAGGGGUUUGGAAGCGGUUCAAGUCCAUGACUCCCGGUAUCUUUCCUAAGAAGCUGACCUUUAGAGCGGCUCAGUGCGACCAACAGCCACAGGGAACGCAUCUAUACGGAUACUAUGUUUGCGAUACCAUUCGCACGUUUACCUCUG